CAGUGGCUAAGUGUCCAUGAUUGAGUGAAGCUGAACAUGCGUAUUGUACAGGUUGUUGGGUGAUGUAUGCAUGGCAAUAGUGGCUGUUGGGAACGAAGACAAGCUGAUCUGUAGUUUUUAUUUGAGGGUAAGGUGCUGCUACAAUGCCUUGCUCCUUGCGAAGUUUCUAGGUGGUUUCGUUCUUCACGACCGAUCAAAGCACAGAGAAACCCAAGUACCCCUUUCCAGUGAAACAAGUUGGCAUUGACAAAAUGUAUCCCGAGCCGAAGAAAUUUCCUGGAGGCUCCUCGGAUUGUUGUGUUCCCACAUGGCCCCUGGAUCACCUGCUCCGGAGACAAACCAUGGACGACAAGACCGAGAGAAGAUUGAAAGUCAGAGAGGGUAGAUAAGAUGCGUGCAAGUGAUACGCAUCUCCCUAGUACAAAUUGCCAACUGUGAAUGAAAGGGAAGGUUAGUUGUUCAGAGCGAAAACGCCAGGGAAGUACCUCGAGUACUUGGUCUUGCCAGUUUAGUCUUUGACUGCACAGUUCUUGUCCCCCAUGUUUGGCCCCUAAUCGAACGUUGCUAACCCACUCCAUCAAUCGACUAACCCCAUCUUGCAUUGUAUAAAUCUACCAGAAAUUGGGUAUAUUCCCAUUUCGUCCUAAUCAUUGUAGAGGAGCUAGACAAUCUAGGGCUUUGUCUGUACAUUUUUAUUUUUUUGGGAACAUUUCUUUUGAGUCGCACCUUAAAAGUUAUGUCAUUACAAUAUAAGCAGUAUCCUUUGGUAACAUAACGCUAAUAACUUGCUCGAGUUACAUACAA